AGUGAAUAGUUUAAAAAACAUUAAUUUUGGAGAUUAAAGAUGGGAAUUUGAUUCUCUUUACUGA
rnacentral:tRNA from 1 species